rnacentral:rRNA from 1 species
GACGAACGCUGGCGGCGUGCUUAACACAUGCAAGUCGAACGGAAAGGCCCUGCUUUUGUUGGUUGCUCGAUUGGCGAACGGGUGAGUAACACGUGAGUAACCUGCCCUUGACUUUGGGAUAACUUCAGGAAACUGGGGCUCAUACCCGAUAGGAGCUCCUGCUCCAUGGUGGGGGUUGGAAAGUUUCGGCGGUUGGGGAUGGACUCGCGGCUUAUCAGCUUGUUGGUGGGGUAGUGGCUUACCAAGGCUUUGACGGGUAGCCGGCCUGAGAGGGUGACCGGGCACAUUGGGACUGCGAGAGGGACCAGAAUCGUACGGGACGCAGCAGGGGGGAAUAUGGCACAAUGGGGGGAAGCGUGAUGCAGAAACGCCGCGUGCGGGAUGACGGGUUUUGGGUUGUAAACAGCUGUGGAAGGUGACGAAGCGGGAGUGACGGUAACGGGUAAAGAAGCACCGGCUAACUACGUG